rnacentral:lncRNA from 1 species
AAAAAGAUAAGAGCUUGGUGACUUAUGAUCAGCAAUCAAGCUAUACUCCAUUAUUGAAAAAGAAACUGGUCUAACAACAUUCAAUUACACUCCUGAACAGAAAGAGAAAGAUAUAAGAGAGAGAGAGAGAGAGAGAUUAAAGAUGCGCUAAAUUAAUGGAUCAUCGCCAUUAGAGAUGUAUCCUCACUAUCUUUUCCUGGGAAGUUUAUUUGGAAAGCUAGAAAAUGAAAGGAAAUGAUACAAGAUAUAUAUAUAUAUAUCUAUCCAUCGUACGUGCUUCACUUUCACUUUCAAGAACUUAUGGACUGAUGUGAAGAGAGCUCCAUGAGGGGGAUUUUAAGGUGUUCCCAAUUUAUCAUCAUCUGCGGUUGAGAAAUGAAAAAUGUAGGGUGCAAACCCCAAUAACCCCGUCUCUAGUGUUU